AUGUACAUUCCUGCAACAUAGCAUUAAUGUACCAGAUUCCAUUAGAACUUUGCAGUUAAUCGUGCUCAGGAUAGAGUAGUACUGGGAUGGGUGACCACUUAGAAAGUCCUAGUGUUUUACAUG
rfam:Picea glauca, whole genome shotgun sequence.